rnacentral:rRNA from 1 species
AUUGAACGCUGGCGGCAGGCUUAACACAUGCAAGUCGAGCGAGUGGCGGACGGGUGAGUAAUGGCUGGGAAACUGGCUGAUGGAGGGGGAUAACUACUGGAAACGGUAGCUAAUACCGCGUACCAUCAGAUGAGCCCAAGUGGGAUUAGGUAGUUGGUGGGGUAACGGCUCACCUAGGCGACGAUCCCUAGCUGGUCUGAGAGGAUGACCAGCCACACUGGAACUGAGACACGGCCCAGACUCCUACGGGAGGCAGCAGUGGGGAAUAUUGCACAAUGGGCGCAAGCCUGAUGCAGCCAUGCCGCGUGAGUGAAGAAGGCCUUCGGGUUGUAAAGCACUUUCGGCAGGGAGGCGUUACUCGCAGAAGAAGCACCGGCUAACUCCGUGCCAGCAGCCGCGGUAAUUC